ACCGGAUUAGAUACCCUGGUAGUCCACGCCGUAAGCGAUGUCAACUAGCCGUUGGGAUCCUCGAGAUCUUAGUGGCGCAGCUAACGCAUUAAGUUGACCGCCUGGGGAGUACGGCCGCAAGGUUAAAACUCAAAUGAAUUGACGGGGGCCCGCACAAGCGGUGGAGCAUGUGGUUUAAUUCGAAGCAACGCGAAGAACCUUACCUGGUCUUGACAUGCUGAGAACUUUCCAGAGAUGGAUUGGUGCCUUCGGGAACUCAGACACAGGUGCUGCCUGGCUGUCGUCAGCUCGUGUCGUGAGAUGUUGGGUUAAGUCCCCGUAACGAGCGCAACCCUUGUCCUUAGUUACCAGCACGUUAUGGUGGGCACUCUAAGGAGACUGCCCGCGACCAACCGGAGGAAGGUGGGCACGACGUCAAGCCAUUAUGGCCCUUACGGUCAGGGCUACACACGUGCUACAAUGCUCCGUUACAAAGGGUUGUCACGCCGCGAGGUGCAGCUAAUCCCACAAAACCGAUCGUAGCCCGGAUUGCAGCUCUGCACUCGACUGCGUGAAGUCGGAAUCGCUAGUAAUCGUGAAUCACAACGUCACGGUGAAUACGUUCCCGGUCCUCGCACACACCGCCUCGU
rnacentral:rRNA from 1 species